CACACACACACACACAGAAUAAAUCUUAUAAUUUUAACUGUAUUUUCUCUAGUGGUAUUAGUUUUUAUUUCUUAUAUAUAAAGAUCUAAAACAUGGAAACUUCUCUUGUCUCACUGUGAGAUCAGUGUAUGGUAAAGGAAUAUAUAAAUGUUUCCAUCCAAAGCAUCAUUUUAUACAAUUAUCAAACAAGUAUAAGGUAAUAGUGAUGAAGGGUUUUAAAAUCCUUCAUAAUCACUCUUAUUGUAUCACACAGAUGUGAGUGUAAUAGGCAUUUUAUGAAAUAUUUUCAUAUCCUGUACUUUUUUUGGCCUCUGAGGCUCCCCACCCAUUUUGUCAAUGCCAGUUGUCCUUCCAGAAAGAGGGCGGGUACCAUCUGGAACAAAGAGGGCAUUGAUCAGUUUCGAGUUCUAAAGCCAACUUUUAAAAAAAUUCCAGCAAGAGAGUUGAGCCUUUUAGAGAGUGAAAAGAGUUUUCUAAAAUGCCAAAAAAGAAAAAAAGUGAGAGAGAGAAAGGAAAAUGAAAGAAAGAAGAAAAAGCAAAAGGAAAAAGAAAUCCCUCCUGUUCUCAUAUCAAAAGCAAAGACAGGGAGUUUUGUCUGUAAACCCCAAGUAGAGAAAACAACUAGAAGAGAGAGUGGAAAAGGCUCCUGGUCAGAGAGGCAGACACCAAAGGAGACCAAGGCAGAGAAAGAAGGGUGUCCUGGCUUAGCCCUAACUAAAACCGGAACGUGGCGAUGGCAAGUAUAGUUGGGUGUGGUGUUUGAAGGCUGUGAAAAAAUACAUAAAAGAGAAACUGUUCAGAAUUCCAGCACAGCGGGACUUGUUUUUCUCUUCCCUGGGCACUGCCUGGGAAGAUUAAAGGCCACCUCAGAAAAGUGCUUGGUCCAAGAUGGGACACUCCAGGCCAGCACCACUCAAAGUGCGGUCCUGAGAAGGUGCUGGCCCGCAAUUCUUUGUUGUGGCCUCCAGUCCAUCCUGAGGUAAGUUCUGAAAUGGGUUUAGAAACUUCCAUAGCAAUUUGAUAGACUAGUGUCAUGGAUUGAAUGUUUGCGUCCUCCCCCCCAAGCCCAUCACAUUCAUAAUUUGAAACCCUACCCCUCAAUGUCAUGGUAGUAGAAGGUGGGGCCUGUGGGAGGUCAUUGGAAUUAGACAAGAACUUGAGGGUUCUUGAGGGAACUUGGGGUUUAUGGAUGGGAUUAGUGCCCUAAAGUAGAGAGAGAGAGAGAGAGAGAGAGAAAAAGAGAGAGAGAGAGAGAGAGAAUGCACUUGCCUCCUCUCUCCUUCCCUUGAUGUGAAGAUACCCCCAGAAGUUGUCACACUGGCCCGCUUGCACUUUUAGCCUCCAGAACUGUAAGAAAUACAUUUCUGUUGUUUAUAAGCCACACGGUCUGUGGUAUUUUUGUUAUAGGAGCCCAAACUGACUAAAAAACCCCAAUUUUAUGCCUGUUGAAUCAAAUAUGUUAAAAAACUGGGGCUUGUAUUGUGUACCUCUUUAUUAUUUAUUUUUCUAGUAACUGAUUUUUAUUGUAUUUUAUAGAAAUACUGGUCUGCAAGGGAUGGUGGGGAGAACCCAUUACAGUUUGAGAAGCAUUGUUCUGUAGGCUGUAUUACAAGUGGCUGAGUGAGGGCUCAAAUAGAGGGAUGGAAGUCAGACUCUCCACUUCUCCAACUCUCCCCGCACUCUUGAGUCUCAUGUACCACGGAAGGAAUCCAGAAAGCACUCUGGAAUUUUGCCUCUAUGUUGCUGCCAUGACUAUAAUGGAUCCAUCCAGCUGGGUCCCUGAGAGCAGUUUGUAAGCCGCUAACAACCAGUGGCUGAACCUGAGGGAGCUACAACAAUGGCGGUGGAGGAGUGGAGAACAUUACCAACUCCAGUCCAGUCCUGUUUCUUAAACCGUCUAUUUUAGUCCUGUCUAUCCCUGCCCUUCCUGAUGUUAUGUUUCCAAGUAAUCCCAAUCUUUCACGCUCUGAAAAGAGAUGCGUCUCCGUGACCCUGCGUAGCAUUAUGGAAAGAGAGGGAGAGCUGAGUCUGUUUUGUCACUUCUGAUGGUGUGAAGAUGGGUAGGUGAGUGAUCUUUAAUGCCUCUGUGCGUUAUUUUCCUCAUCUUGAGAAUGGGAUGAUAAAAUCUAUCUUUUAGGUGUUCGUUGUGAGGGUUAAAUGUGGCAGAUAUAUAGUAGGUACUCAAUCAUUAAUAGGAAUACUUGUAUAUUCUCUACCCCUUUCUCAAAUACCUGGUGAAAACUGUAUUCAGGGGUGAGGAUUCUUUUGCUCCAGCUCAGACCUCUUCAGUUCCACUAUGUUUAUCUUAGUCACCUAGGCAAAUGGGUAGCAGCUGUUUUUGCAUUAAUGGUAAAGACAGAAGAUUCUCUCCCCUACAGGACUCAGAUGAGUUCCAUUCUGAGACACCCCUUUGAUCCAAUCUCAUAGACAUUUUGUGUAUUUAUGCCACUGUCCUCAAAGCAAGCCUCUCCAAAGCUGGUGCUUUGCCCCUGCAUACUCUUCCUUCUCCUGUUGACUUCCCUCCUAAUCUUUACAAUAUAUUCUAUGAAAGUUUUAUUUUAUUGUAUGUAACUCUCUCUUAGUCCCCAUGCUUUGAUUGAACUUUGCUUCUGCCACAAAGACACCAAUUCUCUUCGUGUUAUAAAUUCCAGACUUGGUUACCAGUCCCUGUCUCGGUUGAAUUCUCACUACUUCUACUGCUACAGCCCUCAUCCCAGACGCCACCAUUAUUUGCCUGAAAUGAUACAAUGGUCUAUAAACCAGCUGUCUGCUUCUGCCUCUACAUCUGUAUCAUGCAUUGUCAGCACAGUAGCCAGAAUGAUCCUUAUAAACCAAAGUCAGAUCGUGUCACUUUGUUACUACUUCAGGGCAGGGACCAUAUCACUUUAUCUGUGAAUCUCUAAUGCUUUUCAUUGGAACUUAGCAGACUCUCCAAAAAUAUUUUGCUGAGUGAUUAGAAACUAAGAGAAAAAAGAUAAAGAAGAAAUAUGGCAAUCAUUGCCACAUCCUUUUUCUCCCUCUCUCUCUCUCUCUCUUUUAAAAAAGCUUAUUUAUUUUGAUAGAGAGAGAGAGGACAAACAACAGGGGAUGGGCAGAGGGACAGUGAGACAGAAGAUCUGAAGCAGGCUCUGUGCUGACAUCACAGAGCUCGAUGUGGGGCUCAAACUCGUGAACCAUGACAUCAUGACCUGAGCCAAAGUCAGAUGCUUAACCGACUGACCCACCCAGGCACUGCCACGUCUUCCCGUAAACUCUUGAAUAUCUGUAACUCAUUUUGUUUGUAACUUCACAUCAUUUUAUUUGAUAAACAAGCCCAUCACCUAAAAGGUAAGCAGAUGUGUACCUCGAAACCCAGAAAAGUUAAGGGAUGUGCCCAAAAUCACAAUGGCAGUGAGAUUAGGGGCUUGGGCUUGAAUUCAUCCUUCUUCCUCCAAACAGUAUGUUCUUCCUGUUAUGCCAUAUUUCACAUGCAAGUUUGGAGGUCCCCAGGCUUGUCUACCCUAACAUGUGGUUUUACAAUACAUGUCAUUUUGGGGAACAUCUUUGGUAAAGGCAAAAAUCUGACUUUACAGGAAACUCCAAGGUAGACAUGGAAGUUUGGCAGCCAGGAGGAUCCUGGCAGAAUCCAGGCAGAAUUCUCCAAAGUCUACUUUCUGCAUACCAUCUUUAGAGUACACAUCAUUUAAUAUAGAACCUGGGCAACAGGAGUGAUUAUUAUAUGCUUAUAAAUAAUCUCCACCAAAAAUUUAAAUCUGUAAACGAAAGUGGUUUUCCAUCUAGGAAAUCUGAUUUUGUUCGUGUUUUCAUUAUUAAAUUAGGUCUGGUAGAGUCUAGAGAAACAUUGGCAGGAAACAUCUAACUUACUAAAAUCAGAUAUUCAAAAGAAGUUUAAUUUCUGUCUGAAUUGAUAAUAUAAAGUAGUGAAGUUAAAAUUCUAGAAGCUGUGUUCAGUAGAUGAACUCAUAGUGUGACAAGAUACGGAAGUAACCAAAACAGAUUUUCUCUACUUUGUAAAUAAUUAUAUUCCUUCAGACCAGUGCUAACAUUGGAAGCGGUUGUGGGGCAGUGUGGGAAGGAGGAGGGAGUCAGAGUUGAUUUUUAUGUGCUUCCUAGAGAACGGCUUGUUAAAGAGCAGAAAACAAUGAUGACAACAGUGACAGGAAAAGUCCACCUUCCCAAAGUGUACAGAAGAUUAAGAUGGAAUUGCAAUACAUUCUGGACAGCUUUUCUUGUUCCAAAGUGAUAAUGGUGGUCAAGUAGACUUUUAUGAUUCUUUGUAACUGAUUGUGUUACGUAUCUACGUGGCAGUCUCAGUUUCUGCUACUUAUCUUCCUAGUUUAUUCCUUCACAUACUACUGCUUGAACUAGAUUGAACUAGAUUGUUCGUAUUAUGUCUUCAUAGUCUCUCAGGCCCCACAUCCCUAAAUAAUGGUCUCAUUCUAAAAGGUGUUUAAUAAAUAUUUUUGAGAAAUUUACCUUACAUUCUAAGAAGAGCGUGCUGUCUGUAUUUGAGGUUUUCUAACUUCUGAAAAUUGGACCCACAUCAACACAAAACUGUUUUUUACACAAUGUUUAAAAAAAUUUUACACAUUGUUUAAAAUGUGACAUAAUACAGUACAGACACAGGAAACCAAAACAGACUCCAUGGUCAUUUCAUCCCCAACUUUAAAUGAGACACCGUGAGUGUUAAUCAAACUCAGGAAGGCAGAUGCAUCUCAGAAUUUUGAGGGUCAUAAAAGAUGUUUUAGUCCUGUCAAUUAAAGCAAAAAUUGACCUUUCAUUCUUCUUGAUUUGAUACUUGCUCUAAAUCAGUAAGGUACUAAAUUUAUGUCACAAAGUGCAUGUGGCUAUUUGCAGUUGGUGCUAGUAAGGAAAACCAGGGAACAUUGUUUGUAUUAAAUGAGACAACACAUUUAAGAGUUUAUCUCAGGUUUCUGCAUAGCAAGUAUUAAAUAAAGGUUAUAAUUCAUUUUCUAAUUUCCCUAUUUUAAUUUUAAAAGUUUAGUAGUCAUGACUUAGAUUUAUGACUUGAAGUGAUAUAGUAUCUCAGUUGCCCCUAUUACAAAAGCCAGCAGAGAGAUUAAAGAGGAAACUAGCUGGAAAAUAUCUUUGACUAAAAUAUACAUAUCUGUUGUAAUGGAUUGCGCUCCCUCUCACCAUAUAUACGUAUACACAUAUGUAUAUGUGAAUAGUAUGUAUGUGUAUAUAUACAUAUAAGUAGUAAAGAGAAAUGUGGUAAGAUCUUGAUCUAUUAAUAAUAACUUACUUCUAUUUACAUUAACUUUUUUAUAACCAAAAAGUUAUCCUUUUCAUGGGAAUAUUUCUCUCCUUUGGAGCAGAUAAUAUACAUCCAUGAAAGUAGAGGAAAUAAAUCAGGCAAACUUAUCUUCAUCUUCUUAAAUGUAAUUAUCUUUUGACAUUUUGUUUUUACUUAAAAUUUCCUAAUAGCAUAUAUGUAAGCAUCUUAAUAGAGGGUAAGAAGUGAGAUGUGGAUAGCCACAUAUCCACUUUGAAUCUCAGCCACUGAAUCUCUAAAAAGGAAUAUUAAGAACUCUUCUGCCCUCUUCUCAGAAUGUUAUUGGAGAAUUAAACGCAAAACCUUAAAAUUUCACAUUUGCAUGAUUGCCACUUAAAUUUCCAUCAAAUAUAAAAUGUUUGUUAGUGACAUCACAACAUGUAGGAAAUCUGUAUUAGUUGAACAGAUUUUACAGCAGGUACAUUUAGCCUUGUAAUAUAGGCAUUUGUUUUUGAAAUAAGCUUACACGUCCUUGCAUUUUCUUUGGCAUACAUGUGUAUGUACGAAGUGUAACAAAGUAGUGAGGCAGGUUUCUUUAUGAGUUCUAAUUCUUCGAUGUACACAGCCAAUAACCUUUUGAUUAUCUAAUAUGUGGCAGGCAUUGGGCAGGCUGCUGGUGAUACAAAGGGAAAGAAGUUGUGGCCUCAUUCUCAAGGAGCUCACAGUCUCAAGUGGGAGAUGAACACGCAGAAACAUAAUUAUAUUACAGCGGGAUGAGGCUGUCGGGGCCAUGUGGACACAGAACUCGGGAGCACACAGAGACAGGGCCUCCCGAUGCACCUGCGGUGAGGUGGCAGUGACAAAGCAUUCCUUAAGGAGGUAGCUUCUGGUCUGGAUUUUGAAACAUAACUAAGGUUCCACCACUGGAAUAGGGUCUGAGGUGACGUGGGCAUUCCAGUCAAUGGGAACAGAAUCUCCAUGUGAUGCUAAAGAGGCUUGAAACUGGUAAACCCAGUGUGUUGAAAUAAUGUCUCGUUGUUUUUAAUUUCUAUAUGUUGGAGUUAGAAAAACUGAAUGUGCUUUCACGAAUAUGGCUACUUAAAACAUCUACUACAGGAUGACCAAAUGAAUCAUUAUCACAGUUCCUGCUGUGGCUGAAUGUUUUGUUUCUUAACCUCAAACCCCAUAGUAAACCAUGUCGCAUUUCCAUGGGUCAACUCUUCAGUGAUUGUUAACAAUGUCAUCUUUCACCUGGACCACUGCCCAGAGUCUCCACCCCAGGUUUUGACCCACUGUGUUACCACCGGAGAUAUCGUAAAUCAGCUUAGAGCUUUUAUUUCUACAAGACAGAUGAUCCUGUCACUGCUCUACUUAAAACAUUUAAGGGCUCCCAAUUUCCUACAAUAUUAAGUCUUACUGUGGGAGACAAUGUUCUUCACAAGCUGGCCCCAAUUUUUCCAAUCUUUUCCCAAACUCUGUUCUUUCUACUCUCAACCAGGUUCUCUAGGCUUACACCGUCACAAAUUACUCACGGUUCGCCCCAUUCCAUAUCCUUGUCUAACUCAUAUCUUUGUACACAAAACAACACAGUAUGUUGAGACAAAGGGAACUUGCUAUGGUUGGAGCUCCUGGGGGAGGGGAGAAGGGAAGAAGAAGAGGCCACUGAAGCAAUACAUGUGGACUAGAUGACAGAGAAUUGCCAAGGCUAUAUAAUAAGUCUUGGUUCUAUUCUACAUUCACAGUCCUUCUCAAACAUUUUUGUCUAUUCCAAAGUAUUGCAAAGAAGGAAGAAGAAUAUUUUGCACACCCCACCCCCAUGGGUUUGGGUACAUUGCCUGAAGAAGGGCCAUGAUAAGUGAAAAAUUUAUUUGAAGUCUCCUUUCAUAUUUUUGUAUUCUACUGUGUAUUUGCCUAUUAGUUUUGAUACUAAAAUAAUAUUUGAAAGUUCUUGCCAUCAAGUAAAAUUGAAUUUCAAGGAGGAUAUUAUGCUGGGGUUUUCAAUUCUCCUGGCACACUGCCAGGACUCCUGGGGAAUGUGUAUUCCAGAUUAAGAAGCACACUUGAGGAUGAGUAACCACUGGUGGAUUUGAAGGAGGCAGUGGCAGCAACAAACUCGCAGUUAACUGUUUUAAAUUUAGACAAGGAAUGAAUUAAUAUCACUGGGGUCUGGAAAGGUCUGAUGGUGGCCUGGAAGAUGGAUUGGAGGUGUGAGGAUGGAAGAGGGAGAAUGGGCUGUUCAGGGUACCACUUCGAUGGUGAUACAAACUAUUGAGGAAAAUUCCAUUUUUGGACUUGGUAUUUGAGUAGAUAACAUUAUUAUUUAUUGAGAUAGGCAUAUAAACAGAAGAUUUUCAAUUCUGCACAAGGAAGUUUGAGUUGAAUUGGGGAUAUAUGGGUGGAGACACUCAAUAGAAAGCUGAAUACCAGGUUUGGAGACCAGGGGAUAAGUAUGCUUGCCUUCUCUCCCUCCCUCCACUCCCCCUGCCCUCCCCCCAUUGCCUAUCUAUUUACAUCUGGGAAUCGUAAGUCUAUAAGUGGAAAUUAAAACAAUGGGAAUAGAUAAAAUUGCCUAGGGAAGAAAUAAGGAAUUCUAAGAAGAAAGUGUUGCAACAAAGAAAAAAAGAGGUCCCUAAAGAAGAAGAGGUAGUGAGGAAGAAAAAAAGCAAGAUCUAUGAAGAAAUGUUAACAUUGUAUCCAAACUUAGAGACCUCCUAAUAUAUGUUCUUAUUUGAUAAAUUAAGAAGUCACAGCUUAAAAAUAGCAAAUGAUUGCCCUAAGAACCUUGUUGUAUUUUCUCAUUCCUGGCUGAGCAUUCUUACCACAUUUUAAUGAUCUUGUCAUAUCAAUAAAACUUCUAGUGUUUCAUUAAUCUUGCCUCUAGGGGCACCUGGGUGGCUCAGUUGGUUAAGCAUCCCACUUUGGCUCAGGUCAGUAUCUCACGAUUUGUGAAUUCGAGCCCCUGCUAGGGCUCUGUUCUGAUAGCUCAGAGCCUGGGGUCUGCUUCAGAUUCUGUGUGUGUGUGUCUCUCUCUCUGCCCCUCCCCCGGAUGCUCUCUGUCUCUCUCACAAAAAUAAACAUUAAAAAAUUAAAAAAAAACCCCAUAUUUAUUAAUCUUGCAUCUACCAUGGCAUAUAGUAAAGUGUUUCACAAAGAGCACUCAAUACAGUUUUUUAAAGAAAGAAGUGGAAUACAAAUUAUCUUUCGGAAAUAAGAGUGGGCAGCAACUUGAUGUUCAGUAGAUCAAAUUAAAUGUGAGACCAAUGAGGAAUUUUUUUAAAAAAACAACAACUGUAUAUUAAUGUAUCAAUGGAAAAAUAAAUCAACUACCUCAGAUCCAUUGCAAAGGGAAUUUUCAGUAACUUUCCCCUGGACACUUCUACACGGAAGGGUUAUUUCUGGUACUUCUUCACCUCCCUUUGGAACUUCUUUCCUUGCUCUUGGAGUUCUCAUUCCCAAAUACCGUUCUGUGUCUGUGUCCUAAUCCUCCUGCUUCCUCACCACGUCUAGCCCGCCUUCUUCAAUACCCACACUGCAACAUCAGCCCUGGAACUCCAGUCACAGAUGUUAAUGGAAAUAGUCAACAUUUUCAGAUCUGCUUCUGUUACAAGUGGACGCAUGCUGCUUUAAAUGGAUGACAACUGUGUACUUUUCAAGGAGAGCCACCUGGUGCUAGGGUUGGGUCGCAUUCCACUUGGGGGUUCCAGGAGGGAGUAGAAAUAGCACAUUCUUGUACUCAGAGUGUCAGAAGGUGGGUGGUUCCCCUGGAGGAGAGCCAGCCAUUUUGUACACGACUCUUCUGUCCUCUGGAACAUUUAGAAUGCAGCCCGGGCUGGUUCUUCAGGCAUAAAAAAGCAGUGGGCUUGAUACUUUGCUCUCGUUCUCUAAGUAAUGAUUAGGUUUGGUAAGGAAGCAUUUGCCUUUUUAAAAUAUAGGGGAACCACUCUCUCGGCUUCGCAGAAAACUGGAAGUGGCUUCUUGCCAGAGAUUUGUGCAGCUUACUGGCUUGGUGGGCGGAAAAAAUAGCACAGACCAAUGUGAGGGAGACAUCGACUCAUCCUCCUUCCAACAUGUGCCUGUGAUGCCUCCCCAGAAAUGCUGGGCAGAUGGUGAAGAUCACCUUGGUGGCAUUUUGCAUCAGAACUCAGAGUUUGUGUGCAGGAAGCCUCCGACGGGAGCGGGGUCUCAGACGAGUUUGUGCACGUCUACAUUUCGGUGCCACGGUGCCGUCGCUGAGAUUUGCAUCUGUGUGGGGCGAGGAGGAGAAAGCGCAUCUCACAUGAUGCUAAUGACAGUGGUUCGCAGUGUUAAAAAGAUGAGGGAAGGUCAGAGGAGUUAAUUACUGAUGGUAAAAAACCUAAAUGCUCAGAGGAAUUAACUGGUAUUCUGUAAUUAAUUGUAAAAAAGGCUCUUUCAGUCAAAAAAUAUGAUCUUAAUAUAGCCAUCCGUAGUUUGAAUUCCAUCUACAGUUAUUGCAUUCUGUGAACAUUAUCUUAUUGUACUAAUAACGAGUUUGGAGGCAGCAAGCUACAUUCUUUUGACCAGAUUUAAAAGAAAAUAAAUUGAGCGUGCAGAGAAGACAAAGCAGAGAAAACAAUAUCUUUGAUAUCUUGCUUAUUAUACUGCCAUAGAAUGAAUAUCACAAAUGCUCUUGAUGACGAAGACAGUUUAGAUUGUUUAGAAUUGAAGAGACAACAUCACAUAGUUUCCUUGUUGCUACAGAUUUUACAGAUUUUCUGGCGCACAGAGAUGAGAUGGAUUAAAUAGUAGCGUUUCACUGUAAUGAUAACUCUUUGAAAAAAAUAUCAGACACGUAGGAGAUUUGGGGGGAUGUGUUCUAUCAUGAGUUGAAUUUUCCACUGUAAUCAAUUUUCUGGCACAUAUCAAGAUGUACCAGCCCUGUACGCAGGUGAAGAAGGGAGAUGAAAUACCGUAAGUAUCUUCCUGAUUUUUCUUAUCUCCCCAAAUAGAACUUAGAUCAUGCUUUCCUCUCACUUAUUCUGGAAUUUCCCACUGACGUCCUGUGAGGCUGCAGAGAGGGAUUCCCUAGGAAUCUGUAUAUAUGUCAUAGUCACUGAACUCAGAAUUUACCUAUGAAGUAUUGAAUAAAAAGUAGAGUUAUGUCAAGUUACCUUAAACAGAAUAGUUUUCAGAUCUGCAAAACUUAAUAGUAACCAGACAGACUUGACGUUAUUAAAGAAAGGUAUUUUCAUUAUUAUGGGAGGAAGAUCACAAAGGCCAAUAUUGACAAGUGUUCGUCCAAGCACUGUGCCAAGGAGGGAGAAGUGGGGGCCAACCGAGGUUCAGGCUUCCAGUCUCAUUGGCAAAGCUAUUAUUAGUAUGGUGGCACUGGAUACCCCAGGCUACCUUAAACUAAUGCUCUUAUAUAUUCAAUUAAGGCAACUUCUUUGUUAUAAACUCACCAGGCAAACUUCUGCUUAUGAUUUGGCUUCCAAUAGAGGGUAGGAAAAGGGUUGUACCAAUUCCAAUAUUGGAGACUUUGUGAUAGGUCUAUUCGUAGUUUGAUUCUGGUUUUAUGCAUCUGUUUGCCCAGUUGGUUGCUGUGAGUUUACACUGAGAACUUGCAUUUGCUCUUAGUGCCCUGAAAACAUUAGGUUUUUGAGCCUGACAGGCUAAAGGUGAAAAUGCUCUUGCUGUUAGGAUACUUGGAGUCAGUCAGCCAGGGUUCCUCUGAUGACAUUUGUAUGCAACACUGCUGGCCAACAUAUAGACUGUUUAUACUUCUGGAACAGCCAUGUGAGUUUCUCUUUUUGUUAAUUCAACAAAGGUGGGGACAAAGUUUCUAAAAGUAAGGCUUAGGUGUUACUAGGAAAAGCAAAGAUGGCUUAAGGAAACUAGGAGAAAUAGCUUUCUCAAUUAAUACAUUUCAAGCAGUGAUUCCUAACCUACGUAUAAAGCAGGCUUCCUCUUGGGAAGCACUCGGGAACUUCGAGCACUUACUUCAUUCAUUCAGUUUUAUGUUCUAGCCGGUCCUCUAAACGCAGGUGACAACAAUCUGCUCACCAUUAAGGGCUGGCCUAUGUCUCACCAGAGACCAGUCCUCUUCUCGUGUGUGUCUCUCUAGCCAUUAGCAGAUGGCAGGGAGCAGAUAGAAGAGGUGCAGCAUUGGGUUCAAUCAGGGUUGGGCUUUCACCAAGAGAGUAUGCAAAGGGAGCAGACCAGAGCGGGAGUGGAGGUGUGUGCCAACAAGUGUUUAUGAUGAGUGACUGUGGAUUUUAAGCUGGGUAAGGAGGGAAAAAAAUGAGGGGUGUGUGUGUGUGUGUGUGUGUGUGUGUGUGUGUUUAUGUGUGUGUGAUGAAGUGGUGGGAGCAAUGGAUUGCCAGUUUCGGAGAGGCUGAAGGAUUGGUAGAGUAAGGGUGCCAGGAGAUGAAAUGGAAAGAUGGGAAAUGGUGGUGGGCAAGUGGGUUGUUUGAGAAAACCCAGACAAACUUGUGUUCAAGACAAAACCACUCUCUGACACUUGGUAUGUGAUUCUGCAAGUUAUUUAGCUUCUCUCUGUCUCUGUUUUAAAUUUUUUAUUCCUAAAGUGGGAAGAAUAAUAAUAUGUAUUUUAUUGAGAAAGCUACAAAGAUUAAGUGAUAUAAUGGAUGUAAAUAACCUAGCAUAGUGAAGAGCAAAUAUUUGAUAGUUAAGUAAAUGUCAAGUCUUAUGUUUCUACUACACAAUAAAGGCUUUGAAAGCAGAAUCAUCUCUCUCUCUCUCUCUCUGUCUCUCUCUCUCUCUCUCUCUCUCACACACACACACACACACACAUAAAGGUAUGUAGAAAGAGAGAGUAGAGCUAGGCCCAGUGGAAGUCAUGAGUGUGUCUGGAUCAUAAGGCUUCUCAGGGAUGUCCCCAAACAGCUUGGUCCAAGGAAGGCUGGAUGGAGGUUGGGGUGGGUGGGAGGAACUUGAACACAGUAGGUGAGAGCUGGAAAAAUAACAAGCUUUCGUACUUGUUAAAUUUGGUUUUCAUCAACUAUAAUUGUAUUUGAGGAAGACAUAUGGAACCUGAAAAUUCUGAUGAGUAGGUUGUUUGUUUUUUUAUAUAAAUACAUAGGAAAUACUUUUUAAAAAUUUUGUUGUCUGUUGUUCUUUUGAAGGGCACUUCAUUGGAAAAUACUUGAUGGUUUCCUGGGAGAAGUUUUUGUAUAUGAAUAUCAUAAGGAGAGGUUCUUCAGCGAUUCCCUGAUUAAAUAGAUGGAAUCAAUAGACAUUUUUUGGAAGUUCACUCUGCUUGGCUGCAUCAUGG